rnacentral:lncRNA from 1 species
UCAAGCGCACCGUCGUGAGUCUGUGUACCGGCGCAACCGUCUUACCGGAACUCUUAGGGCCGCCGUUGCUCUUGAAGUCAUUGUUGCACCAGCGUCUGAAGCAUCUCCGCCUUCACACCGAAGGUUACUUCUUGCUUUAUCUUCCAUUGUCCUUAGUCAUACUCCGAUUUGGCCCCUGUUUUGUGAUCAAUUAUGUCUCCCAAACAGUACUCUUUGGUUCCAUGAUAAAAAUCCACAUUAAUUCAUCAUUCAAUCAAUAUUGGAAAGGUGAACGCAGUUAUAUAUACCAAAUACCUAAAUGUCGAUUAAGCCUUUCAUUAUUUGUUGCAUGUUGAAACUUUUCCUUCCAUUUUUCUCUGAUCGAACGCCAGAGGCUGAUGAAACCAAGAACUUAGUGUUAUAAUUGCACCAUCAGUUUUUAUCCAAUUGUAUUACAUCAUAAUGAAAAUCGAAGAGUAACUCAGGUAGUUAAAUUUGUAUUAAUAGGUUUGCAUUAUGCUCAUAAUCCUAGUAUUCUAAAACCUAAUUUAAGACUUGGAAUCAAAUGGCUUGUUUCUGUAUGGAGAAGACAGACUGAGGAUAAAGAAAAGUAAAUCAAUUAAAUAGGAAAUGUUCCAAUUUAAACAUAGCAGAAGUCCAAAUAUAUAUUUCAAGAGAAACCACUAAAAAGGGCUCUUUGACCGAAAUUCUCAUUGCCAAAACUCCAAAUAAAGUUAAUCUUUAGGUGAAACAUUGUGAGUUAAGUCUCAUAUGAUUGUAGGAUUCAAGAGUAAAGUCUCACUUGAAUAUAUGAUUGUAGGAUUCAAAGCUUGACAUGGUUUUCUCCGUAGGUUUAUUAGGGAAACAUUGUUUUUAUUUUAUUUUAUUUUAUUCUUACAUAUUCAUUUGUAUUUGGGCUUAACCCAUAUUUCUUCUAUUAUAAAUAGAGAACCCUAUGUGUGUAUUUAACACAAAGGAUUAAUUCCAAUAUAUAAUUUUCACUAUAUUUAACGUGGUAUUACUGCAGGUUUUCUGAUCUUUUUCUACUUUGUCUUUGUUGUCGCCGGUGGCCGCUGCCACCGACGGCCCCCUCCUAAAAGUUUCUUUUUCAACCUGUGCCUUUAUGCUUCAAUAGACAAUCUCUAGUUUAUGUCUCGCAUUUGUCCGGUGUUAGUUGUCUGCUACUGCCCGUUGCUGCUCGCCACCACCCACCACUUGCAGCUGUCCACUGUCUCCGGCCACCGUCACCAGCAGUCCGCCGUCGCCGGCCAUAGUCUCCGACAAUCCGUCGCCGCCGGCAACCGUCUCCGACAACCGUCUCCGGCAACCGUCUCCGGCCACCGUCUCUGGCUGUCAUCUCCGGCCACCGUCUUCGGCCGUCAUCUCUGCCACUUGUGCCACUGAUGCACCAACACCUAGUCCUACCUAUACUGCUUCCGCUAUCUUCUUCUUUAUUCUGAAAGGUCUUCAAGGACAGUUAAUGGUUAACACCAAGAAAUUUCAACACUAAAAUUAUGGGUUGAAACAAUUUCACCAACUCCUUUGUCAAAUCUGUCAGAUUUUUUUUUUUUGGGUGCUUUGAUGAAUAAGAGCUCAUUAUGAUCUUCCACUUUCACGGUCUGUCAUUGGCGUGCCGUCAUUUCCGCCUUUCGUCGUGAGGGGGAGUAUGUUUCCAGCUAGGUUUCAAGCUUUCAGACUCCACUAGUCAAUGAUGGCAGUCCUAGCAGUUUUGUCGCUUCUAGCCACUAUAGGCCCCAUCAAUCAGUGAUGGCAUUCCCUGUAGUUUUGUCGCUUUUAGCCACUACAGGUCCCAUCAGUCAGUGAUGGCAUUUCAUUUUUUCAGUCAGUGUUGCCUUUCAAAGAGAUUUUGAAAAUUUAUUUUAAACAAAAUUCAACACCUCAUCUUAUGUUUCUGUUUUUUAGGUUUACAUUGUAACUUUAAAUGUUGAUUAUUUGUGUAUGAUUAUUCCAUUUAAAAUUAUUGUUCUUAUUCUUAUAAAAGAAUCUCCCCCAAGAUUGUAUUAAUUGGAUG